rnacentral:rRNA from 1 species
AGGCCCAACACAUGCAAGUCGAGCGGAUGAGAGGAGCUUGCUCCUGGAUUCAGCGGCGGACGGGUGAGUAAUGCCUAGGAAUCUGCCUGGUAGUGGGGGACAACGUUUCGAAAGGAACGCUAAUACCGCAUACGUCCUACGGGAGAAAGCAGGGGACCUUCGGGCCUUGCGCUAUCAGAUGAGCCUAGGUCGGAUUAGCUAGUUGGUGAGGUAAUGGCUCACCAAGGCGACGAUCCGUAACUGGUCUGAGAGGAUGAUCAGUCACACUGGAACUGAGACACGGUCCAGACUCCUACGGGAGGCAGCAGUGGGGAAUAUUGGACAAUGGGCGAAAGCCUGAUCCAGCCAUGCCGCGUGUGUGAAGAAGGUCUUCGGAUUGUAAAGCACUUUAAGUUGGGAGGAAGGGCAGUAACUUAAUACGUUGCUGUUUUGACGUUACCGACAGAAUAAGCACCGGCUAACUCUGUGCCAGCAGCCGCGGUAAUACAGAGGGUGCAAGCGUUAAUCGGAAUUACUGGGCGUAAAGCGCGCGUAGGUGGUUCGUUAAGUUGGAUGUGAAAUCCCCGGGCUCAACCUGGGAACUGCAUUCAAAACUGUCGAGCUA